AAAAUUAAUAAUACGUGAGGCAGCUGUCACCAAUGCUCACUUCCUCAAAGAAUCAUGUGCUGAUUUGAGAAGGAUUACAAUGGACAUCAAUAAUAGUUCGUCUUAUGAAGCCAGUAUUUAUGAUACUGAGGAAAUACUCCAGUAAAGGUUCGCAUUAUUUGCUGCUCCUGAAUGAAAUAAGAGAGCCGGACACAACUAA